UCUGCAUCUUCACCGAGCAAUCAGAGUAGCUCCAUUCUGACCAAUCAGGACAGUGCCUUUUGGACAAAUCAAACUGUGAGGAUUUGGGGGGGGUCCUCAUUUGCAUUAGGAUGGACCAAUCAGAAACCAGGGGUGGGGACUUUUGUCUAUGUAAGCCAGCUCCCUUGUGUCUCAGAGAGUGCACUU